AGGACGAACGCUGGCGGCGUGCCUAACACAUGCAAGUGGAGCGACGAACCGGGCUUCGGCCCGGGGCAGAGCCGCGAACGGGUGAGUAACACGUGGGUAACGUGCCCCGAUGAUUGGGACAACCCGAGGAAACUCGGGCUAAUACCAAAUGUGCCCUGUGGCCAUAAGGCCUAUGGGGAAAGGAAGCUUCGGCCUCCGCAUCGGGAUCGGCCCGCGGCCCAUUAGCUAGUUGGUGAGGUAACGGCUCACCAAGGCGACGAUCGAUAGCUGGUCUGAGAGGAUGAUCAGCCACAUUGGGACUGAGACACGGCCCAAACUCCUACGGGAGGCAGCAGUGGGGAAUAUUGGACAAUGGGCGCAAGCCUGAUCCAGCCAUGCCGCGUGAGUGAUGACGGCCUUAGGGUUGUAAAGCUCUUUCGCUAGGGACGAUAAUGACGGUACCUAGACAAGAAGCCCCGGCUAACUUCGUGCCAGCAGCCGC
rnacentral:rRNA from 1 species